GCAGCGCAGUGACGACCUUGUGGAACGACGCCGGCGAAAGAGCCACGAGCUCAGUCGUCCACCACCCCGGAGGCGACCUCGUCGGGAACAGUGUCUCGUUGCAAAUCUUGAGCGCGACGGCGUCCGCCGAUCGCCGC